rnacentral:rRNA from 1 species
UAGGGAAUCUUCGGCAAUGGGGGGAACCCUGACCGAGCAACGCCGCGUGAGUGAAGAAGGUUUUCGGAUCGUAAAGCUCUGUUGUUAAGGAAGAACGAGUGUGAGAAUGGAAAGUUCAUGCUGUGACGGUAAUUAACCAGAAAGGGACGGCUAACUACGUGCCAGCAGCCGCGGUAAUACGUAGGUCCCGAGCGUUGUCCGGAUUUAUUGGGCGUAAAGCGAGCGCAGGCGGUUAGAUAAGUCUGAAGUUAAAGGCAGUGGCUCAACCAUUGUAGGCUUUGGAAACUGUUUAACUUGAGUGCAGAAGGGGAGAGUGGAAUUCCAUGUGUAGCGGUGAAAUGCGUAGAUAUAUGGAGGAACACCGGUGGCGAAAGCGGCUCUCUGGUCUGUAACUGACGCUGAGGCUCGAAAGCGUGGGGAGCGAACAGG